GAUGAACGCUGGCGGCGUGCCUAACACAUGCAAGUCGAGCGGCAGCGAGGGGUGCUUGCACCCUGUCGGCGAGCGGCGGACGGCUGAGUAACGCGUGGGAACGUGCCCCAAAGUGAGGAAUAACUGCCCGAAAGGGUAGCUAAUACCGCAUAUUAUCUUCGGAUCAAAGGAUUUAUCCGCUUUGGGAGCGGCUCGCGUCGGAUUAGGUAGUUGGUGAGGUAAUGGCUCACCAAGCCGACGAUCCGUAGCUGGUCUGAGAGGAUGACCAGCCAGACUGGAACUGAGACACAGUCCAGACUCCUACGGGAGGCAGCAGUGAGGAAUCUUCCACAAUGGGCGAAAGCCUGAUGGAGCAACGCCGCGUGCAGGACGAAGGCCUUCGGGUUGUAAACUGCUUUUAUAAGUGAGGAAUAUGACGGUAACUUAUGAAUAAGGAUCGGCUAACUACGUG
rnacentral:rRNA from 1 species